rnacentral:misc_RNA from 1 species
AACUUUCAGCAACGGAUCACUUGGCUCUCGCAUCGAUGAAGAACGCAGUGAAAUGCGAUACGUAAUGUGAAUUGCAGAAUUCAGUGAAUCAUCGAAUCUUUGAACGCACCUUGCGCCCCUUGGCAUUCCGAGGGGCACACCCGUUUGAGUGUCGUGAAAUUCUCAAAACCUUUUCCUUUGCCGGAAAGGAUUUUGGACUUGGGGGCCUUUUGCUGGUUGCACCUCGCAGCGAGCUCCUCCCAAAUGGAGUAGUGGGGUCUGCUUUGCCGAUCCUUGACGUGAUAAGAUGCUUCUACGUCUCGGGUUUUGGCACUGUGCCUCUGCUUCUAGCCGUCUCAUUGACAACGAUGGUGUUCCGGUCACCGCCGAUUCGUCGGUGGGAGGCUUGACCCACAAAACGACCUUGACCUCAAAUCGGGUGAGACUACCCGCUGAACUUAAGCAUAUCAAUAAGCGGAGGCU